AGCAGCGAGUUCGCCGAGCCGUUCAUGGCCCCGCUCCCGGCCCGGCCGGUCCCUUCCCUCUCCUCCGUGCGCUGCCGCCCGGCGUCCUCCCGGAAAUUCUUGGCUUUCCCUUCCGGGAACCCUCUCCGGGGCUGGCGGCGGAUCCUCACUUACUUUACCUAAGUUAAGUGAUGGAACCAUACCCUAAAGAAAAAAAAUCAUCCUUGGGUCUUUGGUGUUUAUGUUUGUGUGAAGGAAUCUAGGAUGUUCCAAGAAAAGGUGUCAGCAAAUUGCUUAAAUAUUGUAACAACAUCUCCUGAAGAUGGUGCUUUCCAAAAAAAAGGCCAUAGUGCUCGAGUCCUUAGCCCAGAAGAAGUGGAAAAACUGGCAAAAGAUCAGGUUUUGGUGUCUGAGUUCAAACAACUAAAACUGGAGAAAGAGGCACAGAAGAACUGGGAUCUAUUUUACAAAAGAAACAGCACCAACUUCUUCAAAGACAGACAUUGGACAACCAGAGAGUUUCAAGAGUUAAAGGCAUGUCGUGAGUUUGCAGAUCAAACACUGACCAUUCUGGAAGCAGGCUGCGGGGUUGGGAACUGCUUGUUUCCACUCUUAGAAGAAGAUAAGAAUAUUUUUGCAUAUGCCUGUGAUUUCUCUCCUAGAGCUGUUGAGUAUGUGAAGAAAAAUGCCUUAUAUAGUACGGAAAGAUGUAAAGUGUUCCAGUGCGAUCUUACCAAAGAUGAUCUUCUAGACAAUAUACCAGCAGAUUCCGUGGAUGUUGUCACACUUAUAUUUGUGCUUUCUGCCAUUCAUCCUGACAAAAUGCAUCUUGUCCUGAGGAACAUUUACAAGGUAUUAAAACCAGGCAAGUGUGUCCUGUUCCGAGACUAUGGCCUGUAUGAUCAUGCAAUGCUCAGGUUUAAAUCAGGCAGCAAACUUGGGGAAAACUUUUAUGUCAGACAAGAUGGGACAAGAUCGUAUUUUUUUACUGAAGAGUUCUUAUCUCAGCUUUUCAAGGCUGAGGGAUAUGAGCAAGUGGUCAAUGAAUAUGUGCAACGAGAAACUGUGAAUAGGAAAGAAGACUUGCGUGUUCCAAGAGUUUUUCUUCAAAGCAAAUUUCAAAAGCCUUUCAGUGAGACAUAAGUUCUUGCUGAUUAGCAACAGCAUUGCUUGUUUGAAAUGGAAGCCAGCACAUAAGCUGUGUGCUCAUCUUUCUGGUGAACCAAAAAUGUUGGCAUCCAGUAUCUCUUGUUGGUUUCCAUCCUAGAAUACAAAAUACGAAUCCUAUUUCUAAUUCAAUUUUAAGAUGGUUUAGUGGUGCAGGCAACCUGUUGAGCAUCUGCAUUCCUGCUUCUAAAAUAAAACCUAUGCAACAUUGUUGGAGGAUCAGUACUUGUAGGACUCCUGAGUGUACUUUCUCAGAUACAGGAAUGAAACAGACUCAGUGAGCACUAUAGUGUAAGCUGCCUUAAUAUUUUAAUAAUGGUAUCUUUUUAAUAUGCUCAGCAUUUAGAUGUGUAAACAAAUGUUUAUAUUCUAAGCAAAAUCCUAAUUUAUUUGAUUUCAUGCUUGAAGAAGCAUGUCAGCAGCUCAGGUUGUAUUUAUCCCUAAUUAAUUUAAGAUGUUCUUCAUUUAAUGUGCAGACAUAUUUGAAGUUUUGCAAGUCAGUUUGCUGUUUGAAACUGAAAUCAGCAAGUCGGGAGUACUUUCUUUGAUAUGGAGUGUAGUCAGCUCCUUCUUUCCUGGGCAGAGGUCUUAAUUCUUUUCCAUCACUCCCAGGAAAGUUGUGCUGGUUGUUGCUCUUCCUGCCACUAAAAGCCACUGUACUCUUGCUGCUGCAGACAUAACUGCUUCAUCCUUUCCUUACAGCUCUCUGCACUGCAGGACCUUGUCUGUGUUCUUGGAUGAUGUAGUUUCAAAAUCCUGCCUGGGUCUUUAACCUGCAUUUUGGGCGGCUGCUCUCAAGCAGCAGAGGAAGCCCAGAAGUAUCCGGUGACUUGUGCAAUGGCCUGUGCUGAGCCUGUGUAAUGUACACAGUUUGCAACAGGGGGAAUUCCAGUGAAAUGCUAAGGGGAGAGCAAAUGCUGGGGCAGGGUCCCGUGAAGUUUUGAAGCCUUCAUUCUUGGGAAUACUUGGAAUAGGACUGGCCAAGGCCUUGAGCAUUCUGUGACUUUGAGGGUGGCCCUGUUCUGAGUAGGGAUUUAAUCUCUGGCUGUAUAUUUCUUGACUCAAACUGUCAUUCCACUGGACUUGUGUUUUGUUAGAUGACCCAGUCAUAUACGUCUGAUGUGGACCAGGAGUAACUUUUUCCCUCUGUUUAUGACAUAGGAUAUAAUAAUCAUUUUUUUUCCCAGGCUCUUAACACUGGGUGUAUUGUGCAUGAAACUAAAGAAGUAAUAAUUUUCCAGCCUGAAGCUUAAUGUUACAAAGUUAACCAGUCAAAAUUUUUUUAACAAAUUUGAGCUGCCAAAGGUAUUAUUCAGUUGAUAUGGUUAGAAAUAAAUUUGCAACAGAUCACAAAUCUUUGGCCUCAGAGAAGAAAAUGCUUAAAUCAUUCACAAUUCUCCUAAUGACCCUUUGAGGAGGGUCAUUACGUGUCAUCUCCUGUUUUUUAUGGAGAAUAUUAUCCCAGAGAUUUAUGCAUUGCUGGCCCCUGCUGUGCAACCCAUUAGCUCUUUCUGCCAUGCUAGUAAUAAAUAUCUAGUAACACUUACAGUAAAUGAAAAGCUAUUGCUAAAAAGAGAUAUAACGAUGACAGCACUAUCCUAAUCUGAGUUAUCAUUAUUUGGUGGCUUUCAUCAGCACAUGUUCAUCUUUAGCAUGGCAGUUUUGCAAUGACUCUGUGUAGUCUGAGCUCUGUUGAUAUUUAGUGGUGCUUGCAGCCUGUAACUCCAAGUGCCUUUCAGGACUGCAGGUUUGAUCCCUUUGGAGUAUACAGCACAUAAAUGAGACUGAAGGAAUGCCUUGUGUGGCUCCUUGUCAUGGGGCUGUGUGCUUGUCAUCACAUGCAAAGGCAAGUGCAACGAACUGCUCAUCCCCAAAAGGAAAUGAGAUAUAGGCAAGAAUCAAAAAUAUAAAUCAGAAGACCUGAAUCAGCCCAAUAGACUUAGCUAAUAGACAGCCACUGAGUUCCUUUUUACACUGAACUAUUGCCAGAACAGUAAUAGAUGUUUUUGUGUGUGCUGGAGCUUCAGUAUUUCUGUAUACACUUCUUUUGUGUAGCAGCAUGUUAAAUGGAGAGCACUAUUUCUAACUCUUUUUAUUAUAUUUCAUUCAGUCUCAUUUCCAGUCAGACCAGCAAAAUAAAGUAGCAUGCAUUAAUGCCCCUGCCAGAAAGAUCUUCUGCUAUAGUUCUCAUAAAGCAGAUGUUAUUUUGAGAUGAAUGGUCAGAAAGGUUAAUUUAGUUUCCAUGACUCUGCUUCUGUGAACUUUAAAUCAUGGCAAAUUUUUGUAACUGUGGUAAAGUUUGAGGAAGUUGAGUCAGCUUUAAGAAAUCCUUGCCUCAUCAUGUGAGACAUAGUAACUGAUGGGGCGCAUGUGGUUGCUGCAGUGCUGAGUAAAGUGGAUCUACUCCCCCAGCUUUUCAGCCUUCCCAAACUCAAGUAAGCUCACCAGCAGCACAUGCCAACAAUACCUGUACCUUGUAUCCUUGAACCAACUGCAGUGAUAGGACAAGCAGUUACUGGUUCAGACCAAAAGAGAGGAAAUUGAGGUUAGAUGUAUGGCAAAAAUUCUUUACUGUGAAGGGUGGUGAAGCACCAGAACAGGUUGCCCAGAGAAGUUGGGGAUGCUCCUUCUCUGACAGUGUUCAAGGUCAGGCUGGAUGGGGCUCUGAGCAACCAUGGCAGGGGGAUUAGAAUGAGAUGAUCUUUAAGGUCCUUUCCAACCCAAACCAUUCUGUGUAGAACUGUCUUUAGGAAAAUGUAGUAAUCAGGGAUAAUGGUGUUUAAAUCACUUGAAAAAAGCAUAUAUGCAUCAUGCUCACCUUGCACAAGCAAGCCACUGUGCUGUGAUUGUAAUAAAUGUCCUGAUAGUUCUUUCAUUUGUCUGCAGUCAGUGGAGGCUGCUGAGAUGACUCAGUUGUCUGUAGAACACCUGCUUUUUGUUCCCCUUAAGAGGAACUAGCUGAUCUAUUUGGCAACCAUAAGUAGUAAGUUCCUUUAAGCCAACACCCUUCUUCUGAGCAAUAUUUAGGGUAGAAGCAAAUAAUUGUUGAAGUAAUAGGACUGAGAAACCCAUUUUUUAAAAAUAAUUUGGUACCCUGAGCUUACAUUCUCUGAUGUUUAAUAAAGUAUGAACUUGGAUUAAGGUUUUUCCUGAAGUCAGGGAAUCCUAAAUGCCACUUUUCAGUGUGGGAUUCUCUGAUGUCUCCUCCUGGAAUUGGACAGCAUGUAUUAAGGAAUGAUGUUAAUGAGCAGUGAGGACGUGGGUAAGGUUUGACUUGUCAUCUAUUUUCAUUAAAUUUACAGAAAUAUGAAGUCUUUUAAUUAUCUGAGAUUGUGUGUCCUUUCUGUCAAAGGACAGCUUCUGUCAGAUUUGGUUGAUGUGGUGUGAUGUGUGACAACAAGCUACGACUAGAGAGAAAUCCACACAGGUAUUGUGUCUAUACUGUAUGGAUGGGUGAGCUUUCUUUCCUUAGAAAUAUGCUCUACUGAGAAAAAAACAAUUGGACUUUAGGUGAUAGUAUAACAGCAGGUUUUAUGUGGUUCAUUUGGUACCUAAAAAGCUAUUGCAGGUGAUCUUUCAGGUACCUGAAAGCUCCUUGUGUUCCAAAGGCAGAAGAAUAUUUAAGUAACUAAUAUAAUACUAGAGCCAUGGUUGAUUGUGCAUCACUUCUAUGAAACCAAGUGCUAUAAAAGUGAGACCUGAAACUCCAGCAGCUGUAAGCAGCAGCAGUGAACUGUAAAACAUACAGCCUUGGUCUCCUAGGAGAAAGCUGGUAUAUGAAAUGGAAAACGAUCAUUUAUAUGCUCACCUAUUAUAAUUUUUUUUGCUUGAUCUGUUGAACAGUUCAUACAUCUGAAUAUACUGAGAGAUACAAAUUAUAAAUUAGGAAGUGCUUUAUGAAAGAGUUCGUUAAAAUAUAUAUAUGUGUGUAUUUGGAGAGGAUAUCAGUGUUGAGCAUCAGAGUGUGAAGGAAAAAUGGUAAGAUUGUUUAAAUUCCUAAGAAAAAAAAUCCUGAGUUUCACAGGUCAGGGAUGACAUAUAAUUAAAUAAGCUGUUCAUCUAAAAAGUGAAAUUUUGGAAAUGGAAGCCUGCAGGUUCCAAAAUUAGACUGAUGUUCCAGAGAAGCAGGAAGGUGGCAUCUGAUUAUGUGUGGUAUUAGUAAUACAUGCAAGACUCUGUGGGAAGCAGAAUUUUAUAUUGCAAAGAUACUGCUGAGAUACAAUUAGUGAAAAAUAGAUAAGUAUUUUUAAAGGAUUUUACCUUACCAUAAUAUAGCUGUGAUGAAUUUUUCACUGAUUAUGAUUGUUAUUAGGAAAGAUUGUGAGCCAUCUCAAACAUUUGGGAGCAAACAUUUGCUAGUUAUACAUACUGCAAAAACAUCUGACCCUUGGGUGCAGUAGGCUCAGGAUAUGAGUAUGUUUGUGCUCUGUGUUUGUAAUGUGAAUUCAUUUAUUAGAGCACAGGCAGAUGGUGAGCCUGCACUGUGGGGAGGCACACAGAGCCAUUGCUUGCAAAGAUAGAAGCUAUUAGCCAGGUAAGAUGUUCCAUUAGGGAACCUUUUUCAUUCCCACUUCCUAGGCUGAUGUGCACUGUUCAUUGUGUUUGCAGCAGGGUGCUGUGAAAUCAGGGAAGACAAGGGCACAAGAAAAAAGACUACGUGAUUCUUCCAAAUUAACAGUGAUUUUGUGUAUUUCUACUUAAAUGAAUCUGUUUGUGACCAUUUAUCCUCUUUCCCAGCAAAUUUUAGGUCUCAUCUUUGAAAAAUUAGAUUGCUUUUGAAAGUCUUUGCCAAAGACAUAGGCUUAACUUACAUGCUUGAAAAAUAUAUUAUGUGAAAUAUUUAGAAAGGCAGCUGUGUGACUGAAAAUACAAAUCCAACUCUGUUUUACUCCUUUGACUUGGAAGAAGCUUGAUACUUCAUUGUCACUUGGGUGCUUUUUCACAGUUCCCACUUGGAGGUGCUGUGCUGUCUUAAGUUAGAUGGAAUCAAUCAACUGCAGCUCUGGUUUCUGAUGUCUGUAGCAUCCAGAGAAGUUAGAAUGGAAAUAAAUGAGGGUAGCUACAGGGAAAAGUCAUAAAGUAGGCAAAUUACAGGUAGACAAGCCUGCUUAUUGUCUAGUCUCCACAUAGUAUUUUUCCACAGCCCAUUUCUCUGGACCCUUGGAUUGCUAUUGUAAACUUGGUACAGCAGAGAACCUGCUGUUCAAAGGGAUAAUGAUGUCUUCAUACAUAUGGGAUUGUUGUGCAUCUGAAAUUUAAGGAUAUUCAUGUGCUUUUUUUGGUUUUUUCCCCCUAACUUUGUCUUCAAAGUUCUGUUUGAAAUAGGACACCUAAUUGGAAUUUUUUAUCAUUUAAUAAAAGCCUUUUUCAUUAAAAUGUAA